AAUUAAGUUCGGACAUUUUUAACAAAAUUAAAAAAUAAAUAAAUAAAAAAGUUUGUUGAAUUGAAUAAGUGAAUGGUAUAUAAUAUAUAAAGUAUAUAAAUUUUGUAAAUAUAUAUUAGAUGUUCAAGAGAUAAGUGAAAAAGAAUUAUCCUCAUCGGAAGUAAUGGACAAACUAAAAACCUUGGAAGAUUCAGUUGGUCUUAUAUUACAACAACUUAAAAAAUUAGAAAAAUCAAACGGUAAGCAAAGUGCGACUAUAAUACAUUUCUGUUUUAUUAUAUUAGCUAAAACAUUUCUUUAUUAU